rfam:Pseudomonas bauzanensis strain CGMCC 1.9095 genome assembly, contig: Ga0066784_115
GGUCAAGUGAAUAAGCGCAUACGGUGGAUGCCUUGGCAGUCAGAGGCGAUGAAAGACGUGGUAGCCUGCGAAAAGCUUCGGGGAGGUGGCAAACGACCUUUGAUCCGGAGAUCUCUGAAUGGGGAAACCCACUCAACAUAAGUUGGGUAUCACACACUGAAUACAUAGGUGUGUGAGGCGAACCCGGGGAACUGAAACAUCUAAGUACCCGGAGGAAAAGAAAUCAACCGAGAUUCCCCAAGUAGUGGCGAGCGAACGGGGAGCAGCCCUUAAGCGGUAUUGAGUCUAGUGGAACGCUGUGGAAAAGGCGGCCAUAGUGGGUGAUAGCCCCGUACACGAAAGACUCUUUGCCGUGAAAUCGAGUAGGUCGGCGCACGUGAAACGUUGACUGAACAUGGGGGGACCAUCCUCCAAGGCUAAAUACUCCUGACUGACCGAUAGUGAACCAGUACCGUGAGGGAAAGGCGAAAAGAACCCCUGUGAGGGGAGUGAAAUAGAUCCUGAAACCGUAUGCGUACAAGCAGUGGGAGCCGACUUGUUCGGUGACUGCGUACCUUUUGUAUAAUGGGUCAGCGACUUAUAUUCAGUGGCGAGCUUAACCGUCUAGGGGAGGCGUAGGGAAACCGAGUCUUAAUAGGGCGUUUAGUCGCUGGGUAUAGACCCGAAACCGGGCGAUCUAUCCAUGGGCAGGUUGAAGGUGCCGUAACAGGCACUGGAGGACCGAACCGACUACCGUUGAAAAGUUAGCGGAUGACUUGUGGAUAGGAGUGAAAGGCUAAUCAAGCUCGGAGAUAGCUGGUUCUCCUCGAAAGCUAUUUAGGUAGCGCCUCGUGUAUCACCACUGGGGGUAGAGCACUGUUUGGGCUAGGGGGUCAUCCCGACUUACCAACCCCAUGCAAACUCCGAAUACCAGUGAGUGCAGAGCACGGGAGACACACGGCGGGUGCUAACGUCCGUCGUGAAAAGGGAAACAACCCAGACCGUCAGCUAAGGUCCCAAAGUUAUGGUUAAGUGGGAAACGAUGUGGGAAGGCUUAGACAGCUAGGAGGUUGGCUUAGAAGCAGCCAUCCUUUAAAGAAAGCGUAAUAGCUCACUAGUCGAGUCGGCCUGCGCGGAAGAUGUAACGGGGCUCAAACCAUACACCGAAGCUACGGGUGCAUCUUAGGAUGUGCGGUAGAGGAGCGUUCUGUAAGCCUGUGAAGGUCAAUUGAGAAGUUGGCUGGAGGUAUCAGAAGUGCGAAUGCUGACAUGAGUAACGACAAUGGGAGUGAAAAACUCCCACGCCGGAAGACCAAGGGUUCCUGCGCAACGUUAAUCGACGCAGGGUGAGUCGACCCCUAAGGCGAGACCGAAAGGUGUAGUCGAUGGGAAACGGGUUAAUAUUCCCGUACUUCUGGUUACUGCGAUGGGGGGACGGAGAAGGCUAGGCCAGCACGGCGUUGGUUGUCCGUGUUUAAGGUGGUAGGCUGAGAUCU